UCGUCCGGUGUGGUUCACAAUUUUCCUUCUCUCGCAGUGUUCGCACUUCUCUAUCCGUGUGUGUAUGUGUGAGUCGCUUUGAGUGCGGUGUGAGUGUGGAAAAAUCCACAGCAACAACAAAAACCGAAGAGAAAGAGCAGAAAAUCCGCCGAAAAUUAGCCUUAGCUAUGGAUAUGGAUAAACAGAAUGCAAAAAUGUAUGCAAUUGCCGUCAUAAGUUCGCUCAUUGAAAUUCGUAAUAAUUGAGUGAAUUCACCGAAAAUGAAGAAGAGCAUUUAGCCAAGAGAGCGAGCGAGAGAGAGAGUGAGCGAGUGCGAGUGAGAUGCGCCGUUUCAACCGUUUCAUUUGCAACGUCAUCGUCAUCUGAAGAGAAAAGCCAAGGAAAGAGAGCGCGCGAGCGCAUUACGCCUUUGUUUACACGCCCAUUUCACAACUCCCCCGAAAGGAAACAUCAUCCAAGGACCUACUAAAGGUGCACAUAACGCCGUUUUUUGGAUAAUUAGUGCUGAGGAAUCCGAGAUUUUCAAAAAAACCCCCGAGAUAAAAGAGUCUGCGCAAAGAGAGCGGCCACAGAGCGAGAGAGAGGGAGUAAGAUAAAGAGAGCAGAGCGAGCGCUUCGUUGGGCUCCAAAAAUCAAAUUCGUGUGGCUCCCAUUUGGAAAAAUUGCGUCUCGCGACACAACGUGCGUCCAGAGCAGCGGAAAGUUUUUUCUAUUCGCGGCCGGGUAAUUGUGCUUGUAAAUGCAGUUGUGCUUUGAAAAACUCAAGUUUCUUUGAAUAUCUGCCAUUGGGCAGGCAACAAUAACACAAACUUAACCCACAAACCCAUUUUAUCCAGUGCGACGAGUUUUAAAUAUCGAUUUUUUUCUGUCGUUUCGGCUAACGCGCGUCGAUGACCUCGCACACAACAACUACAACUACGACUAUAAACACAAAUACAACGCAAAGCUAAAAGCUGCAA